UGGGGAAUUUUGGACAAUGGGGGAAACCCUGAUCCAGCCAUCCCGCGUGUGCGAUGAAGGCCUUCGGGUUGUAAAGCACUUUUGGCAGGAAAGAAACGUCAUGGGUUAAUACCCCGUGAAACUGACGGUACCUGCAGAAUAAGCACCGGCUAACUACGUGCCAGCAGCCGCGGUAAUACGUAGGGUGCAAGCGUUAAUCGGAAUUACUGGGCGUAAAGCGUGCGCAGGCGGUUCGGAAAGAAAGAUGUGAAAUCCCAGAGCUCAACUUUGGAACUGCAUUUUUAACUACCGGGCUAGAGUGUGUGAGAGGGAGGUGGAAUUCCGCGUGUAGCAGUGAAAUGCGUAGAUAUGCGGAGGAACACCGAUGGCGAAGGCAGCCUCCGGGGAUAACACUGACGCUCAUGAACGAAAGCGUGGGGAGCAAACAGG
rnacentral:rRNA from 1 species